GAGACGUGGCGGGGAGAGGGUUCAAACUAAGAAUGCUCCUUGAUAAAGAGAACAUAUUGAGGGAGAACAUGUUGAGAUGCUUAAGUGAACAGCCAAAGGGGAAAGGGUUUUUUGAGUAUGUGCUGUGCCUAUUAUUUGCAUAACCCCACCCUCUGCUUAGGGAGAGAGGGUUGUAAUAAAGAGCAAAACUUGAGUUAGACAUGACACUAAAAUUUCUGUGACAGACUGGGGCAAAAGCGCCUUAUCUAUUGGGGGUUCUAACAAGUAGAAAUGACCAGAAAGGACUCUUUCCAGAAUUAGUAAAUAUUGGAAGCUAGAGGAGGUAGGAAGUGGCUUCAUGGCAACACUGCAGCUGUGCUUUUCAUGAUCAUUAAUGGAUCUGAUGGAAUAAGACAGUGGAAAAUGCUGUAAGUAAAUAAAUGACAGGCUGUGGCCUAUCAUCAGGUGACAGAUCAUCCUGCCUGGGCUCUGAAGAACGGAGACGUUGUCAUCUGUCUGGUCCCCCUCACAUUCCCUGUCAGCCUCACCGCAUCCGGGUGGCAUGUCACAGUCAUCGGAGCAAGAGGAAUACAGCCGUGUAAACAUCAGCUUGGGAGCCGAGUCAAUCAAACACGGGACUCUAACUGCACAGAAGCCCUUUGCUGCCGGAAAAGAAAAGCACUCAGAGAGAAAGAAAUGCCUUUCAGUGGCCUGUUUCUGCUUCCGCUGCUGCUACUUAUUUCUUAAUUGAAUUUAACAGGUUGUGGGUUUUGUUGAAAGGGAAAAGUCAUAAUUUUUCCCCAUCAAGAGUAGGGGACUUAACACAAAUCUCGCUGUUUUAGAGCUGAUCAAUAGUUAUUGGAUUUGCCCAAUCAGCCAAAGGAGAGGAGAGGCAAAUCAAAGCCAUAGGCCACAAGGACUCUUACAGAGCUUUACAGCCUCCACCAAGAUGAAAGUUAGGCAAGUUGCAAGAAACGACAACAAAGGAGAUGAUGAAACAUCUCCUCGGCUGAGCUCAAGUGGCAUUUGGAAGAAUAAUUUGGAGGGUUGUUCCAAAACAAAUAAUGAACCAUGUAUUAAAAUAAACAAAGUCAUAAAAAUGUCAGGAGGAAUGCCAGAAUAAUAAUGACUUCCCAGUGAGAGAGAAAAGUCAAAGGAGGAUAAUGCAACCUCUUCCUGAAUGAAAACAGCCAGUGCUCUCUGUCCCCAUGGACUUUCCAUCUCCUUCUGGAUACGGCUUAAGAAGCUUUUGGAGCUGCCAUUUUAGAAGCUGUCUUUCAUGGUACAUAAGGAGAAAAAGUGGAUGGAUCCUUCCCUUGUUCUGUUAAAAAAGUAACUGUCCACCAUCACAUAGCUUUCUCAUGUAUCUGCAGUGCAUGUGGAAAGACUCUUAUGAGGAAGGUACCUUCUGCUGAGAUUUCCUGAAUACCCUGACCCUCACCUUGGGAGCAGCCAUUGACAAAACUUGUACUAUGGGAGGCCCUUUGGCUAAGCAUUGAUGAUUUCUGAAAAUGGGGUCGCUUUGUUAUUUCUCUGUCAAAAGGACUUAUGUAACUAUCCAGCAGUAUAAAGCAUCAGAGUAAUAGUACCGAUGAGUCCAGAAUUAUCCCAAACCAUAGGGAUUCUGAGGCAACAACAAUUGCAGAGUUCAUAUGUAGCAUUAAACUAAAAGCCACUGAACACUGAGUUGAUAUCCUAUCCCUAGGUUCCUUGAUCUACCACUGAAGACCCUGAAAGUCCUGGUCCCAGCCUAAAUUUUCAGCCACAUUUCUUUUUCUUUUCUUUCUUUCUUUCUUUUUUUUUUAGAUGAAGUUUCACUCUUGUUGCCCAGUCUGGAGUACAAUGGCACAAUCUUGUCUCACUGCAACCUCCACCUCCCGGGUUCAAGCGAUUCUCCUGUCUCAGCCUCCCAAGUAGCUGGGAUUAUAGGCACCCACCACCACGCCUGGCUAAUUUUUGUAUUUUCAGUAGAGAUGGGGUUUCACCAUGUUGGACAGGCUGGUCUUGAACUCCUGGCCUCAGGUGAUCCACCUGCCUCAGCCUCCCAAAGUACUGGGAUUACAGGCCUGAGCCACCACAGGUGGCCUACACUAUUUUUAGGAAACUAUAUUACUAUCAGUGGCCUGUACUUUCCUGUAUUUGGGAUAUUGCUUUUAUUACCCCCACCCCUGGAAUAUGUCUCAUCUUUCCAUGUAUCCAUCAAACAUACACACUGGCCUAGAAAUUCCAUUUCUAGACAUUCAUCAGCAAGGAAACAAAUUUCCUUCAAGAUUCUCUUUUCAGUAUGUUUACAAUAAAAAAAAGAUAGCAACCCCAAAUUCUCAACAUUAUAUAAUACUUAAAUAAAUUAUAAUACAUCCAUAUGUAAUAAUGUAGUAUUCAGGCAAUAAAAAAUGAUACCAUAGAUUAAUAUUGAUUCUCAUGGAAUAAUAUUCAUGAUAUAUAUUUUUGAUGGAGAAAAAUAAGCUACAGAACCAACCUGUACAAAUGGUUUUGCUUUUAUAAAAAGCAACAUAUCUAUAUAUGUAUAUAUUCAUUUAUAUCCAUAUUCAUAAUUUUAUUGAGAGUGUAGAAAUACACACCAAUGUAUACAUGUGUUAUUUAUGGAUCAAGAAAUUGUUUUGUGUGUAUGCAUGUCAUUUAAUUUUACAACCUUUCAAAAGUAAACAUGAAUUACCUCGAUAUAGAAAAUAAUUUUAAUGUAAACUAUCCUUCAAACUCUAGCUCAAAUGCCUUUCUUCCCACACAAAGCUUUACCUAAAACUUCAUCAGUAAGCUCUUCUUUUUCUGAACUCUAUCUGUAUCUAUUUUAUGCCGUUUAAAUUUCAUCUUGGGUUAAAUACAUUCGUGUAUUAUUAAAAUAUAAACUGCAUGAGAGUAGCAGUCCUUUCUAAUUUAUUCUUGCAUGUAAACUUGUAGCAAAUGUUUACAAAUAUCCAUUGUAUGAAUAAAUAUUGUGUGCCUAAUCAGUAAUUCUAAAAUUUAGCUGCAUAUCAGAAUUACUUUGAAAGUGUUUUAAAAGCACAGAGUCCUGGGCCUAUCAAUGCUUUUAGGUCAGAGGUGGAGAAUUACGGUCCUACCGUUCCUCCUAGACAAUUCCAGUUUAAUCUAGGAAAUUAUCCUUCCACCUGGCAUGCUCAUACUACCUGUCCACAUACUUGAGCUUUGGGUCGUUAACGCCCUGAAUUAAUUCCUGCCCUUGCAAAAAGUAUAUAAGCAAUCAUUAACUGAUCAGACUUAAUAAUCAAAGUGCCCGGAAUAUUACAAGUGUUUUAACAAAUGUUUGUUAAAUGAAUAGUUAUAUUCUUCUGCCAUGUUCCUAAGAGCUUGUACUUGUGACUUCCUCCAGAGUUCUCUCUCUGAUUGCCUUGAUUUGCCCCUUUUCUGUCUCCCCGAUACUCCUCUAAUUGUCUUCUUGAGAGCUGAUUCACCUCUUAGCCUGAUCAUAAUAUUUUUGUAAGUACAGAUUUUUCAGCCAGGUUGGCACAGGAAAAUUAGCUGUGCACAUGAAGGAAGCUUCAAGAUCAACAUCAAAAGUUCUUCGGUGGGUAAUGGGAUCUGGGGUUGAGUACUUAGUAAUGGGAUUAAUCCAUGAUCUGAGAGGUGAGUCAGGGGCAGUUGGGAGCAGUGAAAAUCAUUAUCUGGUGGUAGAGAGAUGGGAAGAGAAGGAAAUCUAAAAAAGGAUAUUCCAACAGCAUUAAUUCAGGGAGAGAGCUGCACAUUGGGUACAUGGCAAUUCCAUCAAGAACAUUUAAGUAGGGAGACAGUUCAAAGAAUUUGUCCGUAUACUUUCUCUGCCCAUUUGUCAUUGUCACUUAUUGUCACUGUUGUUUAUAAGCUUUGCUCUUCACUCAUCAUUUCUCCUAACCUUUCACUUGCCUGGUCCUAAAUCCCAGGAUCCUUUCAAUUCUCUGGCAUGUCUUAGUCAGUCCAGUCCUAGGAGUCAUUGUAUGUAUCUGACCAUAGAAAAGAUUGAGGUAGAAGGUGCUGAUGGGAAGAUAAACAAAAUAUGAAAUUGAACAUGAAUUGGUCUUUAGACCAUUGCAUUGCUAUAAAUCACCCUUCACCUGUGUAAUCAUUAUAUUGAAACAAUAUAGCACAUACAGUGUCAUCUAUUGCAACGUUAUCUAACUGCAAAUCCUUCUCUGUAGAGGUCAAAUUUACCUUUUCUGGGUACUCAUGAAUUGUAGGUUUUUAAAAGCCCAUUAGCAAGCACUGAGAUCUGUCGUCUCAAGUUUUCUAUUUGAAACCAAUAUAUGUGGCAAAAAUAUGUUCCAAUUUUUAUUUUUAGUAACAAUGAAGAAGAUAAUUUGGUAGUUAGAAUGUGUGUGGAUGUGCAUUAAUAUCAUUACCGCACUUUUGACUUUCCAAAUGUGCCCUGUUUUUAAUUGAAAUAAAACCACUAUCA
rnacentral:lncRNA from 1 species